rnacentral:rRNA from 1 species
UGCCGCGUGUGKGAAGAAGGCCUUCGGGUUGUAAAGCACUUUUGUCCGGAAAGAAAUGGCUCUGGUUAAUACCUGGGGUCGAUGACGGUACCGGAAGAAUAAGGACCGGCUAACUACGUGCCAGCAGCCGCGGUAAUACGUAGGGUCCAAGCGUUAAUCGGAAUUACUGGGCGUAAAGCGUGCGCAGGCGGUUGUGCAAGACCGAUGUGAAAUCCCCGAGCUUAACUUGGGAAUUGCAUUGGUGACUGCACGGCUAGAGUGUGUCAGAGGGGGGUAGAAUUCCACGUGUAGCAGUGAAAUGCGUAGAGAUGUGGAGGAAUACCGAUGGCGAAGGCAGCCCCCUGGGAUAACACUGACGCUCAUGCACGAAAGCGUGGGGAGCAAACAGGAUUAGAUACCCUGGUAGUCCACGCCCUAAACGAUGUCAACUAGUUGUUGGGGAUUCAUUUCCUUAGUAACGUAGCUAACGCGUGAAGUUGACCGCCUGGGGAGUACGGUCGCAAGAUUAAAACU